GCUGUGAUGGAAUCGGAAGACAUGUUGAGUUGCCAACUCAAUGAGCUUACGCUCGUGCGGGUUCGAUCCCCGUCAGCCCCA
rnacentral:tRNA from 1 species